rnacentral:rRNA from 1 species
UACGUAGGGUCCGAGCGUUGUCCGGAAUUAUUGGGCGUAAAGAGCUCGUAGGCGGUUUGUCGCGUCUGCCGUGAAAGUCCGGGGCUCAACUCCGGAUCUGCGGUGGGUACGGGCAGACUAGAGUGAUGUAGGGGAGACUGGAAUUCCUGGUGUAGCGGUGAAAUGCGCAGAUAUCAGGAGGAACACCGAUGGCGAAGGCGGGUCUCUGGGCAACAACUGACGCUGAGGAGCGAAAGCGUGGGGAGCGAACAGG